GAUCAUGGCUCAGGAUAAACGCUAGCUACAGGCUUAACACAUGCAAGUCGAGGGGCAGCAUGAACUUAGCUUGCUAAGUUUGAUGGCGACCGGCGCACGGGUGAGUAACACGUAUCCAACCUGCCGAUGACUCGGGAAUAGCCUUUCGAAAGAAAGAUUAAUACCCGAUGGCAUAGUUCUUCCGCAUGGUGGAACUAUUAAAGAAUUUCGGUCAUCGAUGGGGAUGCGUUCCAUUAGG
rnacentral:rRNA from 1 species